AUAUAGAUCUAUCUAAACACCACAUUCUUUUUCCACUAUCUACACCACAGUCGACAGCGAUGAGCAGACAUCUCUUCUCCCCCACUUCAUUGCCGAUAGCCACCAUUGUCGCUUCUCCUCUACUUGUUCUCAUUGGUGCCACCAUUGUCCCUUCUCCUCCAGCCCUUCUCAGCGGCGCAACCCAACCACCAUUUUAAUCAAAGCAGUAACAAGUCGAUGGUCACCAUUCAAUGACACCACCAGCGGUAGGUCGACAGCAAAGGAAAUUGCAUCAGGUAGUAUUAAAGAGUGAUAAUGCAACCUUCAACUUCAUUAACGUCUUGGAGAAUUUGCUGUGGGCAUUUGAUAUUCAAGCCACUGCUUCAUGGGUUUACAAUUGACAGUUAAGAGGAGCAUCUAUAGCCAUAAUGCGUUCAGGUGGAUGCUGACAGAUUAAAGAGUGAAAGAUAAGCUCUCUUUUGUGUUAUUUGUAUUUAUACCAAGAAAAUAAGGCAAUUCUAGAUUGAAGAGGACGAAAGGAUGUCCCAUUUUAUGAAAUUAAAAGAAAAAAGUCUGAAAGUUGUAAUACUAUAUUACAUGCCAAAUUACAUUACUUUCUCUUAUAAUUUUGUUUUCACUUUGAAUUACUUUGCUCAUAUCCUGUGAUCUUUAUGAGGCAGGGUCGCUAACCAAAAUUAGGGGUUGAUUUUAGAAAGUUGUCAGGUGGUGCAACUCUGUUGGUCUUACUUUGUGGCUUGAUCACAUGCAGAUUCAGCCCCUCCAUCAUCUCCGGACUGCAUUUUACCAGUAUGACAACCUCCUCCUACUAUAUUAAAACUUAAUUAUGAUCAUAUUUGGUGUUACUCACCAGCAGUUGGGGAGGCUAUGGCUCUUUUGGAAGUCUCUUGGCAAGGUCUUAGAGGUUUUGAGAUGUGAUCUGUGAGGUUAAUUCUACUCUUCUAUUUUCGGCGUUAUCUCAAUCACUUUGCUAGGUUUCUUGGAAUAUUCGGGCAUGAGAACAAGAAGCUUGCUGAAGGAGGUUUUGGCACUUUUUAAAGAGGUUUCUUGAAGGAUUCCAAUUGAUGACGGUUGUUAAUAGGGUGUCGAGGGAGUCUAAACAAGGGUUUAAAGAGUAUACAACAGCUAAUAGAGUAGAAAGCUGGAAUCAUUUAAGGAGACAGUAGAUUAGAACAUUUUCCAAAAAUCUAGGCUUAGAGUUUAGAGAAAGUAUUAAAAGUUAACUAUGGUUAACUUUUUUCUUUUCUUGUUUUUUUUUAAAGUUUGUAUGAUAUAUAAUGUGUUGGAUUUCAAUUGGAUUGAACACAGCGGAAGAAAUAGAAAAAUAAAAUUUUUUCAUCAAUAUGGAUCACGUUUAAACGAAUAAAUCAAUAAUAUUUAAAGAGAAAAUAAAUAUUUUUUAUUUUCUUACAACAAAACACGAAAUUGUUCGCGUUAGUUGCAUUGUUACAAAUCACAAACCAUCCAAGUGUUCAGUCUCUAAUAAUAUUCACACAGAAUGGUAAUCUAAAAACUUUAGAACCGUUUUAAGAUAUUGAAAAAAGAAAGGUUUUGAAUGCUAACUCUCUGCAUUUCCUAUAAAUUCUGGAGACUUUCAAAAGGG